UGUCAUCUGCCCGGGUUGUUUCGUGACUGGUUGAUUGGUUAGAUUUGUUAAAUAUAAAUGAAAUAUUUGUAUUCGUUCUAAAUUGUAAUUAAGUCCAUUGAUCAAGUUGUUAGAUCAAGGUAAAAGUAAAGAAGUUAUUAGCAGCAUUUAAAGUAAAAGUACUGGGAGGAUUGGGAAGUGUGGACACUUAUUAUAAACAUUGAAUUAUUUGACUAAUGGAUGAUCUUAACAUAGCCUGAGCUGAAUAAAGCUAGUGAGCAUUUCGACAUAUUUACAUUGAUUCAUGCACCAACAAUAAUUAGUUGGCGGCUCUGGUAGUUUUUGUGUUUCCUAGUGAAGUACAGUUAUUCUGCCUGGAUUAAAAACUAUUUGUUAAUUUAUUCAACCAUGGCUGCAGCUUGUAGGUUAUUUGGUACACUGGAGAAAGUGUCUUUAUCAAAUAUUAAGCAAUUUAGCUUACCAGCCGUCUCAUAUGGACACUCAAGAUUUUUUUCUGCUGAAUCAACUACUGGGAAACACACA